UACGUAGGGGGCAAGCGUUGUCCGGAUUCAUUGGGCGUAAAGAGCGUGUAGGCGGCCAGGUAGGUCGGUUGUGAAAACUGGAGGCUCAACCUUCAGAGGUCGACCGAAACCAUCUGGCUAGAGUCCGGGAGAGGAGAGUGGAAUUCCUGGUGUAGCGGUGAAAUGCGCAGAUAUCAGGAAGAACACCCGUGGCGAAAGCGGCUCUCUGGAACGGUACUGACGCUGAGACGCGAAAGCGUGGGGAGCGAACAAG
rnacentral:rRNA from 1 species